GUCCAGUUGAUGAGUCUCAAAUAGGACGAAACGCGCGUUCUGGAU
rfam:Schistosoma margrebowiei strain Zambia genome assembly, scaffold: SMRZ_contig0000046